GCAUAUCAAUAAGCGGAGGAAAAGAAACCAACAGGGAUUGCCUCAGUAACGGCGAGUGAAGCGGCAACAGCUCAAAUUUGAAAUCUGGCUUCUUCGGAGCCCGAGUUGUAAUUUGUAGAGGAUGUUUCGGGCGCGGUGCCGGUCUAAGUCCUUUGGAACAGGGCGUCGCAGAGGGUGAGAAUCCCGUAUGUGACCGGUGGCCAACCCCAUGUGAAACUCCCUCGACGAGUCGAGUUGUUUGGGAAUGCAGCUCAAAAUGGGUGGUAAAUUUCAUCUAAAGCUAAAUACCGGCCAGAGACCGAUAGCGCACAAGUAGAGUGAUCGAAAGAUGAAAAGCACUUUGGAAAGAGAGUCAAAAAGUACGUGAAAUUGUUGAAAGGGAAGCGCUUGCGACCAGACCUGUCCGUGGGCGAUCAGCCGCUGUUCUCAGCGGUGCACUCGUCCGCGAUCAGGCCAGCAUCGGUUUGGGCGGUUGGAUAAAGGCCUCGAGAAUGUAGCUUCGCUUCGGGGAAGUGUUAUAGCUCGAGGUGCAAUGCGGCCAGCCCGGACCGAGGACCGCGCUUCGGCUAGGAUGCUGGCGUAAUGGUCGUAAGCGACCCGUCUUGAAACACGGACCAAGGAGUCAAACAUUUAUGCGAGUGUUUGGGAGUCAAACCCAUACGCGCAAUGAAAGUGAACGGAGGUGAGAACCCUGAAGGGCGCAUCAUCGACCGAUCCAGAUGUCUUCGGAUGGAUUUGAGUACGAGCAUAGCUGUUUGGACCCGAAAGAUGAUGAACUAUACCUGAAUAGGGUGAAGCCAGAGGAAACUCUGGUGGAGGCUCGCAGCGGUUCUGACGUGCAAAUCGAUCGUCAAAUUUGGGUAUAGGGGUAAGAGUUCCGUCCCGAACGUGCAGUCCGGAUCCAUGCUAACAGAUGACCCAGGCGAAAGACUAAUCGAAUCAUCUAGUAGCUGGUUCCUGCCGAAGUUUCCCUCAGGA
rnacentral:rRNA from 1 species